rnacentral:rRNA from 1 species
CCUACGGGUGGCAGCAGUGGGGAAUAUUAGGCAAUGGAGGCAACUCUUACCCAGCAAUGCCGCGUGAAUGAAGAAGGUCUUCGGAUUGUAAAGUUCUUUAAUUGGGGACGAAAAAAAUGACGGUACCCAAGGAAUAAGCCCCGGCUAACUACGUGCCAGCAGCCGCGGUAAUACGUAGGGGGCAAGCGUUGUUCGGAUUUACUGGGUGUAAAGGGAGCGUAGACGGCAGCGCAAGUCCGAAGUGAAAGCCCGGGGCCCAACCCCGGGACUGCUUUGGAAACUGUGAAGCUGGAGUGCGGGAGGGGCAGGCGGAAUUCCUGGUGUAGCGGUGAAAUGCGUAGAUAUCAGGAGGAACACCGGCGGCGAAGGCGGCCUGCUGGACCGUAACUGACGUUGAGGCUCGAAAGCGUGGGGAGCAAACAGGAUUAGAUACCCCAGUAGUC